AUGCUCCAAUCUGCCCUCUCGUGGUGAUGUUUUUUUCCAGUGAUGCAGGAUCCAUCAAAGAGCUGAAAGGGGCCUCAGAUGUUCUAAUUCUACUCCUAACUUUAUAGAACAUGCGCUAAGACACAGAUCAUUGAAUUGACUUAAAGAAGUUUCUUAGCUUUACUCAUGAAAAAAGCUGUAUGUUUGUGCAUUAAAAGGAAUUAUCGCCUCUUCUUUACUUCUGUAACAUAUCCUCAAAGUAAGUCAGACAACUGAUGAUUGUUAGUCACUAACAAUCGUGGUGAUAAACAAUCAUGAGUGAGCAUCAGAAAUUCUAGGCUAUAAGUUCAAUGUUUCUUCAUACUGAUGAUAAAGACAAUUUCUCAUCUUCUAAAUGAAGUAUUUAUUUCAGGACUAUCUCAUGCCGGUCGCCGUCAUAUGGAUGGUCUUAAUACUAAACAUAGCUAUUUAUCGUAGUUUGCACAUCUCUGUGUAAAUCACUGUGGAGGCUACGAGGAUAAUUUGUUUACAGCUAUUUCCCCAUGAUACAGGUCAUAGGCUAAGUAUUGGCCAGUGGAAAUAGGUUGUAGGAGAUUUAGGGAAUUAUUUCUGCUUUGAACAUGCUGGAAUAUUUUUUUAAAUGGCUCGUGCUUAGAAAUGUAUAGCAAUUUCAAAGAAACUGAAGAUUUUUCUCCCAAACAUUAUACUUUUAUUCUUAUAACAACCUCCCAGUUUUGCUUCAUGAAUAUUUAGUUCUGUAUAUCUGGAGUGAGUAACUAAGGAAGGUGGGAUUAGGACUUGAUCCAACAAAUUAUGUUUGUAGCGUAGUGACAUAGAUUUUUAUCAUAGUGAAUAUAAUAUUGUGUACUAAAGAUUACUAUGUGCAAAAUACUGAUGUAUGUAUUAAAGGGCAUCUGACAUGCUCUUGUGGCUGUAUUUUUUUCAUGGUGGGGGCAGACCGCAUUACGAUAAGGCCGCUUCUCACCAUAACUGUACUUUUUCUGCAAAGAGUAGGUGAAUGUGCCUUGUAAUGUAUUACGUCUGCACAACAUUAUGAUGUAUAAGGGAUGAAGUGUCUGGAGGACCCUGGAUCAGAAGAAACUCUUUCUACUCUUCUUGAGGACCAGCAGCCAUCAGAUACAAAAAGAUAUAGACGUAAUUUUAAAAACCAACUUAGUGGAUCACUGAGGUGUCUUGUCAUUCCGCGAAGCACGUUGAUGGCAGCAGCUGCUUUGAGCAUCUGGUGAAAGUGGAAGAAAGCAGGGAGGUGAGGGCACUGAACACAGAAAGACCCUGCCACCUGGUGGGGAAGCAGGGCUUGAGACGCACUUCUGCAUAGAGAGGAGGUGGCUGUACUUCACUGCGUCUCUACUGCUGGCACAGAGACACAGAGCUGUCUGGUUCUUUUUCGUCGAUGUCACAGUGAGAGGAAAGAAUGGCUUCUUGCCUCGAGAGACACUGUAGCCUUCAGGUAUGUCUCCUUUCUGAACAUCAGUUACUACUUGUGAGCGGUAAAGCAGUCUCAGCCCUUGCCCUGGGUCCUGUCGGUACCAGUACAUGGAGUCGUGAUCAAAAUCCUGUUCACAUUCCAGAGUCACGCCUUGUCCUUCCUCUCUGAUCAGGUAUUUUCGGGUCUGAGUGAUUCUACCAUCUGCUGUGCCUAUAGAAGAAAGAGAGGCUCUAGAAACACAGCCCAGGAGGGUGCCUGAUGCUGCUGUCAUGGGUAGAAGGACUUAGAUCUGGAGCUUAGCACCUUUGGGACAGGAAUUUGCUCCCUGACCCCAGGACUCACCUGCUCUGAGGAGACAAAGAGCCACACAGCAGAUCACCUGGUGACCCAUGAUGGGAGAGGGGGCUCCCUGGAGUGCUAAGCACCUGUUGGAAGACAAAUGACGGUAGAAACUUAGCUCUGGGGAUCCCCCUGGCUUAAAAUGCAGAAGUUGUCAGAAGGCUGGAAUGGAUAAUUGGAAAGGAUCCCAGAGGUAUUCUGGACGGGGUCUCUAACUUUGCAGAUGAGGAGACAGACAGGGGACCUGAAGCAUUUGCACCCCCUGAGACCUCCCUCCCCAAACUGUGUUCAGCCUGCCUGAGUGGGCGGGCAGGGCCAAGGGUGCGGGCCAGAGUCUCUCUCCGAUUGGCUCACUGCACCCUGAGCCAGACAACCUGGGUUUGUAUCUUUCCUCUCUCUUUUGAGCUUGCGGAAGAAAAAUGAACUCGUGAAACCGCAUUUGCUUUUUGCUCAUGUUGCAAAAGACAAAAAUAUUUCCUUUGUCUGAUUGUCUUAGAUGAUUAAAUGAAAUUCUCUAUUUAAAGCUUGCAAUAGAGAACUUGAAAUAGAGUAUAAAGUGAAGAAAAGAGAACUUUUGCUCCCUAAAUAUCUAACCUGAAAAAUCAUGUCCGGUUUUAAAAAUCUUUACCUUUUUCUGGUGACAGUCUUAGUUCUUGAGCAUGGGCUGGGAUGUCUCGUGAUACUUCCACCACCAUCCCCUAUUUCCAUGCUCGCCCUGCAAAAUGCUUUCUAGCGAAUAUGUUCAUUAAUCCAACUACACGUGCCCUUCCCUUCCCCAGCCGGUGGCUGUUUCUGGGGCGGGGCCUGGAGGGUGUUCCUGCAUUGACAGGAUGGGACUCUGCAUUGAUGUGGGUAAGGAGCUGGCACAGAAGUACACUGCAGAGUCUCCCAACUCUGCCAGCCGGAUCUUUAAGACACUGGGUCCCUCUUUGGGAAAUUCAGCAGAAAAGCGUUUUGUCGGCAUUCCGGAGUCAUCUAUGAUAUUUUCCUUCUGGAGGUAAACCAUGAAUUUCAGACCUUCUCCCGGGAGCUGCUGAUACCAGUAAACGUAAUUGUGUUCUUUCUCUGGGCUGCAUCUCAGCAUUGCUUCUUGUCCUGUCCCUCUGACCAGGUGUUCUGGGUUCUGGGUGACGCCAGCAUUCAUGGGACCUCAGAGGAAAAGAGAUUACAUGAGACAGGGUCAUAAUGGCGGAGGAAGUGCGUGCGUGGCCACGCAGCAACCCAAGGCGAGUGCGAAUAUCUUUUAAGUAUCCCAUGUUCGAGUGAAAACUCACAUGAAUUUUGCUUUUCGUGCCAUGAUGCAAUUAUUUGUUUUCAUUUAGAUGUCAAAAAAAUCGGAAAAUCUUUCAGAAAAUCUUUGGGCAACAUGAAGGUCCAGGGCCUAUUUGAGACACAGAGGGCCACAGACAAAGCCCAGUGAUGCUGAUCCGUUAGCCCAGAGCUCACCUGCCCGCAGGAGCCAGAAAACUACCCAGCAGAGGAGUCUGGUGUGCAUGGCAGAGAUGGCAUGAAGAAGACCCACAGGCAUGGCCCAGGAGGGAUGCUCACUGUAUUAGCCCAGGGAGUUAGACUUCAAAGCCCCCUCGUCUGAGGCGGGUCUUCCUGUGAAGUCACCAUUUCCGGGGAGCCUGUUGUCUCUGGACCUAAUCUUGUACAUCACUUAAAUGAGACAUCUUUUUUUCUCUACUGUAAACACAUCCUGGCCUAGUAUGUGUUACUACGGGGACAGCGUUGCGCAGAGGUUUGUGGUUGCUGUUCCCUCACGUUAUUCCCCGUUGAAUCACUGCCCUGGAGAGACAGUCAGUCUUGUGGGGGAGGCAGAUCUGUGACAAAAGGAGGAGAAUAAAUCUCUAGCGGUCAACACUCUGUUGUUCCACAAACAAGGAAGUCAUUCAUGUCUGUAGAGGGAAAGAGUCUUCAGAGGGGUCGCGUUUGAGAUAAAAAUCAGUAGUAAUUUCUUAGAGUUUUGGUAAGUUAAUAUCAACUUCAAAUAUCCAGUUUCUGUAGUUCAAAAAAGUUUGGGGGAGGGAAUGGGGGCUUUAUUCUGAACUUGAGAUCCACAGACUACCCAAUUCUGUGUUCUUUUUAGGCAUUUCCAAAGCCCAUGUCCUGAAGCAUGGCAUGCCCACUAUGAUAAUUUAAGAGCUAAUUUGUAGCCUUGCCCUCUCCUGCUUGCACGUGGAACCACAACUAUCCACCUGCCUCUUUCUUUCUUCUGAAGCACAAGACUGAGAAGUGGCCUUCUCAAAUGCCUAGAGCUCAGGGGAGAGGAGAAGAGCCAGUGAGUUUGCACGCUGGACAGAACUGGUUCACCUGCACUAUUCCAAUGCCACCAGCAUGGCGAUCACAGCUGAGUCCGCCCGCUCUGCGGCAAGAUGGGUCUUAGGGUGGAAUAUGUCCCAUUGGGUCUUUCAACCGAAAGUCUUUCCUUGGGCAUCCCAACUCGGCUUCAGUGUUUUGGUAUCGGAAGGAAAUCAGAAAUUCCAUCUCUUGCUUCAGAGUCUGUGGGCACCAGUAAACAAGUAUAUGACCAGAAAUUGGAUCACAUCUCAGAUUCCCUUCUGUCUGUCUUUGUGAUCCUGUGGCUGGGGAUCUGGCUGACUGCAGGGUCUGUGUGUCCUGUGGGAGAAGAUGGAAGCCAUAGAGAGUGGGCCUGGGAAAACAUCUUCUACACAAAUUCCCACACACUCCCAAGCUCACUUGCCCCCAGGUGUCCAAGGCAAGAUCACUGGCAGGACAAGCUUCCCCAGCAAUGGUUUCUGAUGCACAGCAGCAGAGAGGAAUGGAAGUUUUGGGUUCCCUUAGCCCCACAAGGUAGAAUCUAGCCAUGAAAUCACAGUCCCUGGGAACACCCACAGUCUCAGGGCACCUUCCACAGAGGGGAUCAUUGGUCCAAACGUAUGACCCCAUGUUUAUUUUGGUAUGGAUGAUGUAAACAGGCUCCAAACCCACUUGAGCAUUCUUAGGAAAAGAGAAGUUCAAGGAAGGCACAAGAGGAAGAGGAAAAGGGGAGAAGAGAGUAAGAAUAGCAAGAACAAGAAGAAAAUGAUGGAGCACCGUGCUAGAGUUGCUAUUUAACCAAUCUUAUAAAGAUUGGCAGAAGUUCUCAAAACCCCACCAGGGGCUUGAUAAGAUGAAAUGUAUUCCUAUAACCCACGUUUGGAAAUUUUGACUGGAAAUUCUGAUCCUGUCCUAGAAUAUACCUGUGUGACCUGUCCCUCGGGUGAUACCAAAGAAAGAAGUUGUUUCAGACAACAGUUUCAAUCCCUUCUGAGUAGACAUUUUGAAUAUCCCAGACUAACAAAAGAGAAAACCUCUUAAUGAGUUAGAUUAGAAUGUUAAAACUUAAAUAGAACAAGAAUUUUCCUAGGACUAGGAAUAACUAAUGGAUAGACUUAAGUUCUGGAAACUCCAUUUACAAAAAAGAAGAGGUGGGAAAUAAGAAACCUAAUUGAAAGUGAGGUGAGUGACGUCGAGGGAAGAGAAGUUUCCAGGGUUUAGGGGACAGUCAAUAUUGUCAAAUGCUUCAAAGAGAUCAAGUAGGCAGAGGAAUGAAAAUAAGCCUUCGAUCCAGCAAGUUUAUAGUUUUAAUAUUUAGGAGAAUAGUUUCAUAAGAAUGGGACUAUUCCAUGAAAAAGCUGAAGAGGCCCCCGAAGGAAUGAUUCCUCUGUGAUGAAAGCAAAGGUGUGGGUGAUGGAUUGCGUGUUGUUACUUGGAGAGGAACAGAAAUGGACACUAAGGAGGACUCACGUUUGAGUGCUGGAAAGAGAACCUGAAAUUAGAAGCCAUAACAUUGGAUACACCAGGAAGUUGAGAGCUUCUGUUUCAAAGGGUCAGAAUGAUGUUUGUUUGAGAGAUGAAGUAAAUUUGGACUUCUGGAGGUAAGAAAACCAGGUUCAGCUUAUACUGAAAAAAGAACAGACGUGACUAGAGAGAAUAUAUAAACUUCUCUAAAGCUGAGUGGUAGGUGGUGGGGAAAUGAACAGUUUUAUAAACAGGAUGGAUCAUCAAAUUUUAACAGACAUAUUUUGAAUUCUACGUCUGUUCUAUGUACCUGCAAUGACCUUCCAAGGUAGAGUCGACACCAUAAUAUCUCCUUUACUCCCAUUGGUGUUGAAUGCAUUGUCCCUCAGUACAAUUUGGAUCACAUAACUGGGGAUUUUCAAUUGUCUGCACAUCAGGUGUUUUCCCGCUGAGGUUAAUCUGUCCCCUCCCUCAGCUCCAUAGAAUUAGCUUCUACUAAUUAGCGACUUAGGUUUGAAUUGUCAUACUGAAAAUUAAUGUGCUUUUUGUAUUACCUGGAUUUAACUCCUUGAAAACAAAUUAACCAGAGUCUUCAUUUGGUCUGACCAACUAAGGAUCUUGGUCCCCUUUCACAUUCCUUCUUCUUUCCUAGGUUCUCUGUUUCUGGCACUACUUUUCUGUGAUGGACACCCAUUGGGUGUCCUGCCCCUAACUGGAGAAUUCCUGUCUUUGAAAUCUUUGAUCCAUAAGGCCAGAGUGAUAGGCCUCCAGCUGCCAUGUUGUUCCAACUGACCCCCUCGGCUAAUGUUGAAUUUUCCAAGAGCAUGUUCUUAACUAAAACAGGGUCCGUUUGUUUUCUGUUUUUAGGCUUUGUGGUCUUACAAGAGAGAAAGUCAAGUUGGUCCUUCCCAACGUCCCUGGAAGACCGACAUCUCAAUCUAUAGUCUUUUGCUCUAUGAGAUCAAAAAACUGGAAAUGACAAUUUCUACUAAUGGGGAGAACAAUGGGGCCAACAAGGUGGAAAAAGAAAUAAGAGUUGUCGAAUCAGCCAUGUCAGGGUCCCAAAGAUUUCAUUCCAGUUUGCUCCUGAGAAAUUGCUGUGUUCUUGUUUUGGGUUCUAUAGGACAUACAUGUAGCCUUGUGAUAAAUUCCCAUUUGGCUUAAGCUAGCUCUCGUUAGUUUCUGUUAUUUCCUUCCACCCUAAUAUGCCAGCUCCUUCCUUAGCUGGGCCCAGGAUGUUUGUGUAUUAAGAUUAGCUAAUAUUUAACACUGCGGAUUCACUGCUAGCACAGAUACAUGGCUGAAUCCUGCAGCUCUGUAGUCUGGGUCUCUAGACGAAAGGGUGAGUUUUGGGGACACCUGGCUGAAAAUCCCUCCUUGUGCGUCCCCGUUUUAUCGACUUCAUUCUGGAAAGAAAUCAAGAACUUGAACUCUUUUGCCGGGAUCUGCUGAUACCAGAAAACGUAACUGUGUCCUUUUAUCGGGACACAGUACAUCGUUGCUCUCUGUCCUUUUCCUUUGACCAGGUGUCCUGGAGUCUGGGUGACUUCUGCAUUGAGGGGGCCUGUGAAGCAAGCAGACUGAAGUUGGAGGCUUGGCCCCGGAGGGAGUCCGGUGACAGGAACCAAAGGCUGAGAGCUGGGGGGUGGGGGGCUGAGGAGUUCAGAGAAGGGGCUUACCUGCGCUCAGGGGACAAAGGACCACGGGCAGGUGAAUAUGAGGCACAUGGCCGCAUCAGGACCAAAGAGAGGCAGGUGGCUUCCUCUGAGGCUUUGCCUCCCCCACGUUACCAGCUACUCUGUCACGUGAUCACUUCACAGAACCCAAUCGUCUCAGGUGUGCUGCUCUGUACAAGUGAAGACACAAAGUGGAGGAGAUGAAAGAACUGUACUCGGUCGCCGGAAAACAGGCAGCUCAGGACUGGGAUUUUUCUAAAGCGAGAAAGAAUAAGACGAUGUCCGCAGAUGGCGAGGGGGAGACACUGAGCAUGGCAAAUUUUCUGAGUUGAGGAGACAGAGGUUGAAUGUUAGAGGCCACACAGCAAGUGGAACUCACGAGGAGGACGACCAGGGAGGUGGAAGAUACCCAAAGAACCCUGGAAAUGUUCAGAGGGAUCGUAAUGAAGUUUCGUCCUAACAGGAACCCAUGUCUGUGUGAGAUGAAACUUUAAGAAGCACCAGAGACGAUCCCCAGAAAUGAGUCACCGGCAUCCCCAGAGUGGCCAUGCUUUUGCAGUAGGACAAAAUUUGGUUAGAGCAAGAGGUGGUAACUGACAGCCCAGGGCUGGCCACCUGUUCACGUACAGUUUUACUGGGGGUGAGAUGCGCUUCUGGAAUGGCAGCACGAGAUUUGAAUACCCUCUUCCCAGAGGAAAAAAAAACAAACAAACCUAACUUCUGAAAAGUUAGAAACAAUGAUUUAAAGGGCACCUGGGUGGCUCGGUUGGUUAAGUGUCUGACUCUUGAUUGCGGCUCAGGCCAUGAUCUCACAGUUCGUGACUGCCUCAGGCUCUGUGCUGACAGCGCGGAGCCUGCUUGGGAUUCUCUCUCUCUCUCUCUCUCUCUCUCUCUUUUCCUCUCUGUUCCUCCCCCAGUUGUGGUCUCUCUCUCAAAAAUAAAUAAAGUUUAAAAAACCACAACCAUUUAAAGCCUCUGAACAUUGUCCCAAGAGCAUACGGCAAAUGAAGAAACACUUCUUGGAGAAAAUUGAAAUCUCAGUGGGGCCAGUGAGACUCGAUGGCAUUUGAGCCUCUCUGCCUCCUGCAUCAACCUAAGCUCAGGGUGAUGGACGCUCUAUGCUCUGCGGAUGUGGUCGAGGACACAGGGCUCCUGCAGCUUUUCCUGAGGAGGCACAGGCUGCCAACAAUUCUCAUCCCCCCCAGCUCCAUGACGCAGAAACUCUUUUCCAUAGCAACUGCAGCUCAGGGGUCUGGGCUCCCUUUCUCCACCCGGCGCCCACUCGUGGGGUAGACCCUCUAUUCCAGAAACAGCAGGCCAAGACUGCUAGGCCCCAAUAUUCCUCAUUCUGGCCUGCUCAUAGCGUGGGGGUUCCACAGUGGGAGAUGCGAGUCAAAAAGACCAGGGCUUACCACCCCACCCAGCGACCCCUCAGAGCGCAGCAGUGUCCUUCCAGAAGAAGUGGGCCAGUGUCCCUAGCCCCAGCUCUGGAGGCUUGAUGCAGAGUUUCCGUCCACGGGGGGAGGGAAGUCACAGAGCUGCAUAGCUCUGCUUUGACCUAAGGACCCUCCAGCCUGGCUGAGAUUUGCUUGGAAUUGUGCUGUAGCCCAAGACCUACUUUACUUCCUGCCUCUUCCCUCCCUUUUUCUUCCUCUUUUCCUUCUUCCUUCCCUCUCUCCUUACAGGGGUCAGAUCCACACCGCGACCUGAUGGCCUCCCAGCCUCCUCCAUCUUUUGCCCCAUUUUCUCCGCUACGUCUCCUGCAUGACUGACCCGCCUUGGCAUCUACUUCUUGGAGGACCUGAAAUAAUGCUUCUUUCUUAGUGUACCCUCGCACUUUGGGCGACCAUACCUGCUAGAGAACAAGAGGAUUCUCUGCUGCUCUGCUUCGCUACAGCAAAUCCCACCCCCUUCCACCUCCUCCUCCCCUGGCUGGGUAUGAGGAUCAGAUGGUCACCAGGAGCAAGACUUCAUCUUCAGUCUCGAGGCCUCAGCUGUUAUCUGAGCCUGGAAUGGGCUCAAGACGCAUCAAUUUCUUAAGCCUCAUCAUGGAGCCACAAAUGAAGAAAGAGAUCUGACCCCAACAUCUCAUUUUACAGAAGAAAGUUUUGAAAUGUAGGUAGAAGCAUAGAGAUACACUUGUGAGGAACAGACUACGGACGGUGGUGAGCAAAAGAGAGAGGAAAAGCAGAACACUGUAGUGACGGUGGGUGGCCCGGAUGACAGUGGUUAGAUUCUCUGAAUUUCAUUUAGUUAUCAAACCAGGUACUGGGUGGUACCUCUUGGCCUCUUGAUUACAGAGUUGGAAGCAUAUGGCAUUGUUGAUGACUCUAUGAGGAGAUGUAAUAAAUCGCUGCUUGGUAGGAAUAUCUUUGUGUUCUUCAGAAUUAAAACGAGGACUUCGUCCUAUCCUCUGAAGCGGGCAUCUCGCAGCUGGCGGAUGCUGGUUCUUUCUUGCACUGAUGAUACAUGUAUUUUUUCGAUCGGUUAUCGUGAAUACUUCAGUCUCUUAAAGGCCAUAAGAUACAUACUGGCUUUCAGAAAGCUGUUCAAAUACGUUCCAGAAAUCCCUUUUGCUUCAAAGAAACUGCAGUACUUGAUAUUUUUUAUUAAUAUUAAAAACAUAGGGCAAAUCUAGUAAUUUUAAUAUAUCUUCUAAAGCAUAGCAGCUGGGUUUUGAUAUGUGUCCUAUCUACGUGCCACUUAAGUGGUUUAUAGGCAAAUCUAUAUCAUGCAAAAUAGCUAAAUGCAUUGUGAAUAAUUCAUGUCCUAGGCAAUUCAUUCAUCUUUGAAUCUGGCACAAAUUUUUAGCAGUUCUAAUUUUCCCUACUCAAUAAGAAAACCGUGAGAUUGCAGCAAUGCCUCUGAGGGCACAUUCUUCCCUUAGGGCAAGGAUUCAUGACAGUGAGGCCAUCUCUUGCCUGGUCCUGCCCCUUGUCAUAUUUCUAUGUCUCCAGAUUAUAUUUAUUUAUUUUAUUAUUUAUUUUCUAAGCUUAUUUAUUUUGAGAGAGAGAGAGAGAGAGAGAGAAAGAGAGGAAGAGCCUGAGAAAGCAGGGGAGGGGCAGAGAGAGAGGAAGAGAGAAAAUCCCAAGCAGGCUCUGAGCUGUCAGCACAGAGCCUGACACUGGGCUCAAUCUCAUGAAGUGUGAGAUCAUGACUUGAGCCGAAAUUAAGAGUUGGAUGCUCAACUGACUGAGUCACCGAGGUGCCCCUCCAACUUAUAUUUAACAAAAAAAACUACCUAAAAAAAAAAGUCCCUAUUUAUCUACUGAAGAGAACAGAAUGGGCAACUAAGGUGAUCCUGGGAAAAUACCACAAACUGUAUGUUGGGUUAGUGUAACCACUUUUCCACUCUUGGCAUAACUGUCAGUGGUUUUUGUAGGUUUCUGCCCAACUUCUAUGUAGAGAUGAGAUGGCGACAGCCAUAAACCCACAUCCUACCAUUGCUGUAGGGUGGGAGGGUGGUCUGUCGAAGGAUCUUGGAUCUGGGAAACAGAGAGGUUUAUGAUCAGGGGAGAGGUAACACCCUAGCUCUGUGUCUUUGCUGCUGGCACAGAGAUACACUGCUGUGUCCUCGAAGCCAGCCAAGAGGAUGUCAAGGGAACAGAAAGAAGAGUUAGCCCGGCUGGCUUUGAAGUUAUCAGAGGUGUCUUUUUCGGUGUAAAGGUUUGUAUCAUAGUAGUAGAGCAGCAGCUUUGGGGCUUGGUUCGGCUUCUGUUGGUACCAGUACAUGGCAUCAUGAUUCAGAUUCUGAGAACAGCUCAGAGGCACUCGUUUUCCGAUCCCGGUAACCUGGUAUCUUGGGCUCUGGAUGACCCUGGCACCCGUGUGACCUGCAGAGAGAGAAAGAAAAUACAGAGACAGAGCCAAGGAGACUGUUAUUGCUGCCAUAAAAUAAAGGUACAAAACUGAGGACGAGAUCACUUUCUCAAAGAUUUCCUUUCUGACCAGGACUCACCUGCCCCAAGGAGACAAAAGGCCAUACAGUAGAGCAGCUGGGGACCCAUGGCAGGGCCACAACAGGAACGGGGCAUCUGUGUCUUCUAGACUCUGACUCUGGGUGGAGAGAUGGGAGUUCAGAGAACCUGGUCCCUGAUAGGUAAAUCUGUGAUGACAGUCUGCCGUUGGCUUCACCAAGACAAGGGUCACUCCUUUUUGUGAUGUUACACACAGCUUCCUGCUUGGCAGUGGGACCUGGGCUUGGCUGGAUCACGUAUGGAGCAGAUGCCGUGUUACCUCAUUUGCCCCUUUUCCUACAUCUGCCCCACGUUCAUCCAGGCUUCUCUGUCUCACUCCUCAUUUCCUACACCCCGUAAGCAGUUCAGGGGUUCCUCAACAUAAGAAUAGUUUUUGCUAAAGUAUCAUUUAUAAACCUGUUGAGAAAACGUCUUGCUGUCUACAUCACAGAUGGGAUUGAUGGCUGCAACCUAUCCUCAUCUUUUUUUUUCCCCGUAUAUUUCUGAUUUCAAUGUUUAUUAAGCACAGCACCAAAAUAAAAUUGUUUGUGUGUGGGAGCUAAAUUCUCCAAGAUGGAAUGUCUGAGUCAGGAUGGCAGGGUGAAAAUGGAGGUGUAAAAAUAGCAAGAUCAAAUCAUCUGCUCAUUGUUUCCCUAGUCUUAUGCCAAUUUUUUUUUUAAAUUUACAUCCAAAUUAGUUAGCAUAUAGUGCAACAAUGGUUUCAGGAGUAGAUUCCUUAGUGCUCCUCACCCAUUUAGCCCACCUCCCCCACACUCCCUCCAGUAACCCUCAGUUUGUUCUCUAUAUUUAUGAGUCUCUUCUGUUUUGUCCCCCUCCCUGUUUUUAUAUUAUUUUUGCUUCCCUUCCCUUAUAUUCACAUGUCUUGUCUUUUUAAGUCCUCAUAUGAGUGAAGUCAUAUGAUUUUUGUCUUUCUCUGACUAAUUUCACUUAGCAUAAUAGCCUCCAGUUCCAUCCACGUAGUUGCAAAUGGCAAGAUUUCAUUCUUGUUGAUUGCCGAGUAAUACUCCAUUGUAUAUAUAUAUAUAUAUACCACAUCUUCUUUAUCCAUGCAUUCAUCGAUGGACAUUUGGGCUCUUUCCAUCCUUUGGCUAUUGUUGAUAGUGCUGCUAUAAACAUGGGGGUGCAUGUGUCCCUUCAAAACAGCAAACCUGUAUCCUGUGGAUAAAUGCCUAGUAGUGCAAUUGCUGGGUCGUAGGGUAGUUCUGUUUUUAGUUUUUUGAGGAACCUCUAUACUGUUUUCCAGAGUGGCUGCACCAGCUUGCGUUGCCACCAGCAAUGCAAAAGAGAUCCUCUUUCUCCGUAUCCUCACCAA